rnacentral:misc_RNA from 1 species
GGAUAUAUUGGAUAAGUGCCUGAAGCGGAGAGAGAAAUCGCGACGCUGUUCAGGAGACCGAACCUUGAAAAUAUUAUAGUUUGAAAGCGAAAAGACAGCAAGUAGUUUGCGGCAAGAAAAUAAAGAUAACUAAGCUGAAGUUAAAAAAGAGCAGCUAAAUGUAUUGAGCUAAAAAGCUUUCUCUGUUC